rnacentral:tRNA from 1 species
GCACGUGUAGCUCAGUUGGUAGAGCGGUCGUCUUAUACACGACUGGUCCCAGGUUCGAGUCCUGGCACGUGCACAA